rnacentral:rRNA from 1 species
GACGAACGCUGGCGGCGUGCUUAACACAUGCAAGUCGAACGGAAAGGCCCUGCUUUUGUGGGGUGCUCGAGUGGCGAACGGGUGAGUAACACGGGAGUAACCUGCCCUUCACUUUGGGAUAACUUCAGGAAACUGGGGCUAAUACCGGAUAGGAGCUCCUGCUGCAUGGUGGGGGUUGGAAAGUUUCGGCGGUUGGGGAUGGACUGGCGGCUUAUCGGCUUGUUGGUGGGGUAGUGGCUUACCAAGGCUUUGACGGGUAGCCGGCCUGGGAGGGUGACCGGCCACAUUGGGACGGAGAUACGGCCCAGACUCCUACGGGAGGCAGCAGUGGGGAAUAUGGCACAAUGGGCGGAAGCCUGAGGCAGCAACGCCGCGUGCGGGAUGACGGCCUUCGGGUUGUAACCCGCUUUCGCCUGUGACGAGGCGUGAGUGACGGUAAUGGGUAAAGAAGCACCGGCUAACUACGUG